rnacentral:rRNA from 1 species
UUAGUGGCGAACGGGUGAGUAACGCGUGAGUAACCUGCCCUGGAGUGGGGGACGAACAGUUGGAAACGACUGCUAAUACCGCAUAAGCCCACGGAUCCGCAUGGAUCUGCGGGAAAAGGAUUUAUUCGCUUCAGGAUGGACUCGCGUCCAAUUAGCUAGUUGGUGAGGUAACGGCCCACCAAGGCAACGAUCAGUAGCCGGCCUGAGAGGGUGAACGGCCACAUUGGGACUGAGACACGGCCCAAACUCCUACGGGAGGCAGCAUG